rnacentral:rRNA from 1 species
UACAGAGGGGGCGAGCGUUGUUCGGAAUUACUGGGCGUAAAGGGCGCGUAGGCGGCCAACUAAGUCAGACGUGAAAUCCCUCGGCUCAACCGGGGAACUGCGUCUGAUACUGGAUGGCUUGAAUUCGGGAGAGGGAUGCGGAAUUCCAGGUGUAGCGGUGAAAUGCGUAGAUAUCUGGAGGAACACCGGUGGCGAAGGCGGUUCUCUGGGCAUUACCUGACGCUGAGGAGCGAAAGUGUGGGGAGCGAACAGG